UCCCUGUGAGACCACCAGUGGCGAAGGCGUCUUACCAGAACGGGUCCGACGGUGAGGGACGAAAGCUGGGGGCACGAACCGGAUUAGAUACCCGGGUAGUCCCAGCUGUAAACGAUGCUCGUUAGGUGUCAGGAACGGUGCGACUGUUUCUGGUGCCGAAGGGAAGCCGUGAAACGAGCCACCUGGGAAGUACGGCCGCAAGGCUGAAACUUAAAGGAAUUGCCGGGGGAGCACUACAACGGGUGGAGCCUGCGGUUUAAUUGGACUCAACGCCGGAAAACUCACCGGGGGCGACAGCAAUAUGUAGGUCAGGUUAAAGGUCUUACCUGAAUCGCUGAGAGGAGGUGCAUGGCCGUCGUCAGUUCGUACUGUGAAGCAUCCUGUUAAGUCAGGCAACGAGCAAGACCCGUGCCCACUGUUACCAGCAUAUCCUUUAUGGAUGAUGGGGACUCUGUGGGGACCGCUGCUGCUAAAGCAGAGGAAGGUGCGGGCUACGGUAGGUCAGUAUGCCCCGAAUCUCCCGGGCUACACGCGGGCUACAAUGGUUGGGACAAUGGGUAUCUACUCCGAAAGGAGUUGGCAAUCUCUUAAACCCAAUCGUAGUUCGAAUUGAGGGCUGUAACUCGCCCUCAUGAAGCUGGAAUCCGUAGUAAUCGCGUUUCAACAUAGCGCGGU
rnacentral:rRNA from 1 species